CUCUGCUCCCACACUCAGCCAGAGGAGCCCUGAUGAUGAACUCUCCAUCUGCAGAACGCCUGGUGGUGCAGCGACCCCAUCCAGAACCAGAUGGUCCGAGUCUUAGUCCGACAAGCUCCACUGGGGGGUUGGGGUCUCACAGCAGGAGCCAAGAGGGGCGCAGCUGAAUCUGAUCGGGCCUGAUUACCUCAACAGCACCGACACCACCAGAUGUUUGCUGACCUUCCAAUGAUCUCAUCCUGAUGAGGUUAAAGACAUGCAGUCAACAAUGUUGUUAAAAAGAUUUAUUUCAACAUAUAAAACUGUACAAUGGUGCAAUGUGAAGUAAAAAACACCUUUAUGUUGGAAAAUCUGUACAAAUGAAAGGAAAGAGUCGUGUUGCACAGUGGCAGAUUAUUCUUUCUGCAAAACACCACCUUCAACACAUCAUUUCUGCUUCUGUCCUUUGAGAUGGACCUGUGAUCUGAGGCUGAGGUUUAGUGUCGUCUUCUCCACUUUAAUAAAAAGGUUUCCCUCAUAGUUCUCCA